rnacentral:rRNA from 1 species
AGCGAACGCUGGCGGCAGGCUUAACACAUGCAAGUCGAACGAACCUUCCGGGGUUAGUGGCGGACGGGUGAGUAACACGUGGGAACGUGCCCUUAGGUUCGGUAUAACUCAGGGAAACUUGUGUUAAUACCGAUUGUGCUCUUCGCGGGUAAGAUCUAUCGCCGCUAGAGCGGCGCGCGUCUGUUUAGCUAGUUGGUUGAGGUAAUGCCACGCCAAGGCGUCGUUGAGUAGCUGUGCUGUGAGGAUGAUUAGCCACGUUGGGACUGAGACACGGCCCAAACUCGUACGGAAGGCAGCAGUAGGGAAUCUUGCGCAAUGGAGGAAGGCGUGACGCAGCCAUGCCGGGUGAAUGAUGAAGGUCUUAGGAUUGUAAAAUUCUUUCACCGGGGGCGAUAAUGACGGUACCCGGAGAAGAAGCCCCGGCUAACUUCGUG